rnacentral:rRNA from 1 species
UACGUAGGCAGCGAGCGUUGUUCGGAGUUACUGGGCGUAAAGCGUGCGUAGGCGGUGUCUUAAGUUUGUUGUGAAAUCUCCCGGCUUAACCGGGAGGGUGCGGCGAAUACUGAGAUGCUGGAGUGCCGGAGAGGUAAGCGGAAUUCCUGGUGUAGCGGUGAAAUGACGUAGAUAUCAGGAGGAACACCUGCGGUGUAGACGGCUUACUGGACGGUAACUGACGCUGAGGCACGAAAGCGUGGGUAGCAAACAGG